rnacentral:lncRNA from 1 species
UGUUUGGACAUUGUAUGAACAAUGUACAUAAUUAUCACAUCCGUACAAUAUUGUGCGAACGUGAUAAUUAUGUAUAUUGUAAUAACGUGAUAUUAUAUUAUACAAACAUGCAAAGCAUAAUGUUAGAACAAUAAACAUUUCACCUUAUAACGUGAUAUAGCUCUAUUUUGCUUUUGCCUGGGUGGCAGCUCCACGUUUCCAUAAUUUGGUAAUCAAAAUAUGUAACUUAAUUAAUUAUGUUGUGACGUACUUUUGCCUUUUCUUAUUAUUCUGCCUUCUCAGAAAGGGAAAAAAAUACAAAUAAUAUUGUUUACACUUGUUAUAUACAAUAACUAUCAAAACCUAUUCACAUUUAAUUUGGCUUUCACAGAAAUCCCACCUCUCCUUCUGGCUACAGAGCACUUACUUACCAAGCCCAUGAAAUCGAAUGCAGAUCUUCCUGAUGUGAGAUUUACAUAAAUGUAAGUAAUUUUGUUUGUCAUUGUCAUUAAUGUUGUUGCUGUUGUUGUUUUUGUGAAGUUUGCAAUAUAAACCUAGCAAGCAUCAGUCAGCACAGUGACUAACCUAAACAGAUUCUUGCUUUAUUCACAUAUAUUAUAUGUAAUUAUAUAUACCUGCACAUUGUACCUAGGGUUCCAGCCACUUGGCCCCACCCCAUUGUUGUGACAGCCCUGACUGUACACUGCAUCUGAACAGGGAACAGUCUGCCACAUUAAUGUAUUUUUAAGUGACUUGUUUGUAAUACAUGAAUUUGCUUCUUACAGAUGUCAAAGUCUCAACCUCAUGCUGCCCUCCCCCAUCCUCCUAAACCUGUGGAUACAAAUGCAGAUUUCCUUAAUGUUCAAUGGUGCGUGUUCUUCUAAUGGCCGCCUUCCCACUGGAGGUUUUGAUCCACAGCAAUUUAAAAGGAGGACAGAGCAAAACGGACAUCGGCACAGAGUGAAGAACUGCCCUUCACAAGGACACUAUGACAGCCAUAUAUAUGGCGGUAAGGAAGAGGUUUCCCAAUGUGUCCAGAAGGGCUUUGAGGAUUGCAGUGAAAGCUGGGGGAACUGAGACUGCUGGAAAAGGAAAAGAAAUUACAUUUUAAACUCAUUCAUGCAACCCGUCUCUUCCCCAUCCCCACCUCACAGAUGUCUGAGUCAGAGCUUCAUCCAAGCCUCAGUCUUCAUUUUCAACACCACCAGGACUCCAGUGGCUGCUGUCCUAAAUCCUAUCACUGGGAUUCAGUUCUGCCAUGAUGGGUCAUUGGAGUCUAAUUGCCAAAUACAUUAAUUUCUCUAUCUAAAUAAAUCAUGUUCAGUUAUUUCAAGUUAUCUCUCCUUAUUGAAAUGGCAAAAACUCAUCAUUGCUCAUUAAAUACAAAACUUGUUUAAGCUCAACUUUAGUUUCCAAGAGUCAGCUAAAGUCAGAAGGUUAAAAGUACAUCAGGACUGUCUCAGUUAAAGGAAGAAUAAAGAAGCAACACUUGUGAUAAUAAUGCGUAACCGCUUCCAAGACAU